UACGUAGGGUGCGAGCGUUAAUCGGAAUUACUGGGCGUAAAGCGUGCGUAGGCGGUUCGCUGUGUCCGAUGUGAAAGCCCCGGGCUUAACCUGGGAAUGGCAUUGGAAACUGGCGGGCUUGAGUGCGGCAGAGGGGGGUGGAAUUCCGCGGUGUAGCAGUGAAAUGCGUAGAGAUGCGGAGGAACACCGAUGGCGAAGGCAGCCCCCUGGGCCAACACUGACGCUCAGGCACGAAAGCGUGGGGAGCAAACAGG
rnacentral:rRNA from 1 species